rnacentral:ncRNA from 1 species
GCGAGCCGUAUGAAUCGAAAGAUUCAAGUACGGUUCUGAGGGCAGUAUUAGGUCCUAAAGAUAGCAACUUGAACUCGUUUAGGUAGCUGGUCCAUGGACAUAACCAUCUUCUUCUGACCCCUAC